rnacentral:rRNA from 1 species
CAGUCGCCGCGGUAAUGCGUAGGUGGCAAGCGUUGUCCGGAAUUAUUUGGCGUAAAGAGCUCGCAGGCGGUUUCUUAAGUCUGAUGUGAAAGCCCCCGGCUCAACCGGGGAGGGUCAUUGGAAACUGGGAAACUUGAGUGCAGAAGAGGAGAGUGGAAUUCCACUUGUGGCGGUGAAAUGCGUAGAGAUGUGGAGGAACACCAGUGGCGAAGGCGACUCUCUGGUCUGUAACUGACGCUGAGGAGCGAAAGCGUGGGGAGCGAACAGGAUUAGAUACCCCGGUAGUCCCUGUCUCUUAUAC